rnacentral:rRNA from 2 species
CUAGUAAGAUCCCUGAAAGAUGAUCAGGUUGAUAGGUUCGAGGUGGAAGCAUGGUGACAUGUGGAGCUGACGAAUACUAAUAGAUCGAGGACUUAACCAUAUAA